rnacentral:snRNA from 1 species
AAACUUACCUGGCCGGGAGUCUCCGAUGAUCAAGAAGGUCGGAGCUCCGUAGUGAGGCUCCAUCAUUGCACUUUAGAUUGGAGCUGACCUGCGAGGCAAUCUCAAACGAGAUUAGCCCACGGCUCAAUUUUUGCGUGUGGAGGAGCGUUCGCGCCCUCCG